GACCGCGUAGCUCAGUUGGCAGAGCAUUGGACUAGUAUCCCAAAGGUCGCGGGUUCGAUUCCCACCGUGGCCA